UGCGGGCCUACCAUGCAAGUUCGAGCGGAUGAAGAGAGCUUGCUCUCUGAUUCAGCGGCGGACGGGUGAGUAAUGCCUAGGAAUCUGCCUGGUAGUGGGGGACAACGUCUCGAAAGGGACGCUAAUACCGCAUACGUCCUACGGGAGAAAGCAGGGGACCUUCGGGCCUUGCGCUAUCAGAUGAGCCUAGGUCGGAUUAGCUAGUUGGUGAGGUAAUGGCUCACCAAGGCGACGAUCCGUAACUGGUCUGAGAGGAUGAUCAGUCACACUGGAACUGAGACACGGUCCAGACUCCUACGGGAGGCAGCAGUGGGGAAUAUUGGACAAUGGGCGAAAGCCUGAUCCAGCCAUGCCGCGUGUGUGAAGAAGGUCUUCGGAUUGUAAAGCACUUUAAGUUGGGAGGAAGGACAUUAACCUAAUACGUUGAUGUUUUGACGUUACCGACAGAAUAAGCACCGGCUAACUCUGUGCCAGCAGCCGCGGUAAUACAGAGGGUGCAAGCGUUAAUCGGAAUUACUGGGCGUAAAGCGCGCGUAGGUGGUUUGUUAAGUUGAAUGUGAAAUCCCCGGGCUCAACCUGGGAACUGCAUCCAAAACUGGCAAGCUAGAGUAGGGCAGAGGGUGGUGGAAUUUCCUGUGUAGCGGUGAAAUGCGUAGAUAUAGGAAGGAACACCAGUGGCGAAGGCGACCACCUGGGCUCAUACUGACACUGAGGUGCGAAAGCGUGGGGAGCAAACAGGAUUAGAUACCCUGGUAGUCCACGCCGUAAACGAUGUCAACUAGCCGUUGGGAGUCUUGAACUCUUAGUGGCGCAGCUAACGCAUUAAGUUGACCGCCUGGGGAGUACGGCCGCAAGGUUAAAACUCAAAUGAAUUGACGGGGGCCCCCACCAACCGGUGGAACAUGUGGUUUAAUUCGAAACAACCCGAAAAACCCUUACCAGGCCUUGACAUCCAAUGAACUUUCCAAAAAAUGGAUGGGUGCCCUCCGGGAACAUUGAAACAGGUGCUUGCAUGGCUGUCCUCACCCCCGUGUCCUGAAAUGUUUGGGUUAAAUCCCCGUAACAAGGGCAACCCUUGCCCUUUAUUAACCACCCCGUAAUGGGGGGCCCCUCUAAGGG
rnacentral:rRNA from 1 species